rnacentral:rRNA from 1 species
UACGUAGGGGGCAAGCGUUAUCCGGAUUUACUGGGUGUAAAGGGAGCGUAGACGGCAUUGCAAGUCCGGAGUGAAAGCCCACGGCCCAACCGUGGGACUGCUCUGGAAACUGUAGAGCUGGAGUGCGGGAGGGGCAGGCGGAAUUCCUAGUGUAGCGGUGAAAUGCGUAGAUAUUAGGAGGAACACCGGUGGCGAAGGCGGCCUGCUGGACCGUAACUGACGUUGAGGCUCGAAAGCGUGGGGAGCAAACAGG